CAUGUUGGACAGGAAGUUUGUCACAACGCCUCGUUUCCCUGCACCAGCACCACCUGGAACAAGAAAUGGGUCAAGCACUUAAAUUCAUCCAGUUUGUCAUUGCAACAGGUUCAAACUUUAUUUUACCAGUCGAUUUACGCUGGAGGAAGCAGGUUCUUUGGCACCACCUGGUGGAGAAAACCAGAAGAAAAUGCACAUGUUGGAAUAACUUUCACAAACAUUUGUAGGUGCAUGUGUGUUUUUCACCAGUGAAGAGCGCUGAGCAGCAAUGGCCUUCUCUCCAACCGCAGCUUGCUGGCCUGAAAGACACGAUGCAGGCCUGUGGACAGAAAUGAGACAAUUAGAUGCAGUCUAUU